rnacentral:sRNA from 2 species
UAGACACAAAAAACUACUACCUGCCACAAACUCGUGAGAGAGGAUAUAUGCUCUGCAUAGACCAAACCAGACUUGAAACUCCACCUCCUGCAGACUCUAAAUCAUCCGCAUUUGCGAAGAUGAUGAAAAACUUUGAACGCCCUGCGAGUUCCCCCGUCACGCAAUUCUUACUUAAAAACGAUGACCCUCGUUUGCUGGACGCCAUCGAUGAUAUAUCUUGCAACACAACCAAGGACCGCCAGGCCGUUGAUUGGACUCGGUACAAAGCACGUCACCUUCGGUAUAGAAUGAGGGAAGGACUUGGGGAUAAAAGACCUCUUACUCGUUGGCAGGACAACGGUAACUGUCAAAUGCCUGACUUCUAUUGGCGC